UACAGAGACUGCAAGCGUUAUUCGGAUUUAUUGGGCGUAAAGAGCGUGUAGGCGGCCAGGUAGGUCUGGUGUGAAAACUCGAGGCUUAACCUUGAGAUGUCAUCGGAAACCAUCUGGCUAGAGUCCGGAAGAGGAGAGUGGAAUUCCCGGUGUAGCGGUGAAAUGCGCAGAUAUCGGGAAGAACACCCGUGGCGAAGGCGGCUCUCUGGGACGGUACCGACGCUGAGACGCGAAAGCGUGGGGAGCGAACAGG
rnacentral:rRNA from 1 species